AGUGAACGCUGGCGGUAGGCCUAACACAUGCAAGUCGAACGGCAGCACAGUAAGAGCUUGCUCUUACGGGUGGCGAGUGGCGGACGGGUGAGGAAUACAUCGGAAUCUACUUUUUCGUGGGGGAUAACGUAGGGAAACUUACGCUAAUACCGCAUACGACCUACGGGUGAAAGCAGGGGAUCUUCGGACCUUGCGCGAUUGAAUGAGCCGAUGUCGGAUUAGCUAGUUGGCGGGGUAAGGGCCCACCAAGGCGACGAUCCGUAGCUGGUCUGAGAGGAGGAUCAGCCACACUGGAACUGAGACACGGUACAGACUCCGACGGGAGGCAGCAGUGGGGAAUAUUGGACAAUGGGCGCAAGCCUGCUCCAGCCAUACCGCGUGGGUGAAGAAGGCCUUCGGGUUGGAAAGCCCUUUUGUUGGGAAAGAAAAGCAGCAGGUUAAUACCCCGCUGUUCUGACGGUACCCAAAGAAUAAGCACCGGCUAACUUCGU
rnacentral:rRNA from 1 species